rnacentral:rRNA from 1 species
CGGCGAGCGAAAAGAAAAUAGUUCAGCACUAAGUCACUUUGUCUUUAUGGCAAAUGUGAGAUGCAGUGUAUGGAAUGUCAAAUUUCUAGUAUGAGAAAUUAACGAUUUAAGUCCUUCUUAAAUGAGGCCAUUUACCCAAAGAGGGUGCCAGGCCCGUAUAACGUUAAUGAUUACUAGAUGGCAUUUCCAAAGAGUCGUGUUGCUUGAUAGUGCAGCACUAAGUGGGUGGUAAACUCCAUCUAAAACUAAAUAUAACCAUGAGACCGAUAGUAAACAAGUACCGUGAGGGAAAGUUGAAAAGAACUCUGAAUAGAGAGUUAAAUAGUACGUGAAACUGCUUAGAGGUUAAGCCCGAUGAACCUGAAUAUCCGUUAUGGAAAAUUCAUCAUUAUGAUUUUAAUAUUUAUAAUAUUAUAAUAAUGGUGUGCAUUUUUUCUAUAAAGGACAUUGUAAUCUAUUAACAUAUUAAUUUAUCAUAAGAUCAUUUGCGUAAGUUUAUUCAAAUUAUUUUGCUUGCAUUUUAAUAUCGAAUAAAUGCUUUUGAUUUGAUAAAGUGUUGAUAGAUUUAUUGUAUACAGUGCUUAAAUAUUUAUAUUUUAUAAUAGCAUAUUAAUCAAUGAUUUUUAUGUUCAUUAUAUGCACUUGUAUGAUU